rnacentral:rRNA from 1 species
UACGUAGGUGGCAAGCGUUGUCCGGAAUUAUUGGGCGUAAAGCGCGCGCAGGCGGUCCUUUAAGUCUGAUGUGAAAGCCCACGGCUCAACCGUGGAGGGUCAUUGGAAACUGGGGGACUUGAGUGCAGAAGAGGAAAGCGGAAUUCCACGUGUAGCGGUGAAAUGCGUAGAUAUCUGGAGGAACACCGGUGGCGAAGGCGGCGUUCUGGACUGCAACUGACACUGAUGAACGAAAGCCAGGGGAGCAAACGGG